rnacentral:SRP_RNA from 1 species
CCGUGCUAGGUGGGGAGGUAGCGGUGCCCUGUACUCGCAAUCCGCUAUAGCGAGACUGAAUUCCCAUCUGAGGUAUACAAUCAUAAAGUCUGCCAUAAGGAAUUGGUGUUGACGUUUGGGUCCUGCGCAACGAAGACCCGUGAACCCUGUCAGGUCCGGAAGGAAGCAGCAGUAAGCGGUAUUCUUUCGUGUGCCGCAGGGAAGCCUGGACUGAGCCAUGAACUUGUGUAACGUUUAGGAUUGUAUCAUCGACGAUGGGUGCACGG